AUGGAAACCAAACCCUACAGGUGAAAGACCGGACCAGAGGGCACCAAGGUUUUUCCAGGCCCACAUGGGCUCCUCCUGGUGAUCCUGAGGUUGCUUGGUAAUGAAGAGGAGAAGCAUCCCCAAGACAUAGAGACUCCUUUCCUGCACCCCUUUCAAGGUUUUACUACACAGCAGGCUUAGUGUCAUGUGUAACAUUUUGAGAGACCCUGGCCUUCAGGAAGCAGUGCUGUCCAUACACCUGCUACAGCAUGGAACAGACAGCUACAACUCCUGCUGCUUGUACUGGAUGGUCACACUGUUUUAUUUCCAUGAGGUGCUUUAGUCAUGGGAUAUCAAACACUGUGUGUCAUCAUAGCUGUAUUGCCAGCAGCCUGUCAGAAAGAAAAAGAGACAUAACUGAAAAAGCAAGUAAGGCUGGAUUUUAAAAGACCAUGUAUUGCAGAAACUUUUUAUGAGUUGAAACCCAACACUUUCUAAGGUAAGAAAACCAGUUUAAAAAGAAAAAAAAAAA
rnacentral:lncRNA from 1 species